CCCCCACCCCUGCAGGCAAGGACCCCUGCAACCAGACCAGCAACUCAGGAACCCAACCGCGGCAGAUGAGGACCCCUGAAACUAGACGUGUUACUCAGCAACCUCCACCCCUGCAGACAAGGACCGCUGCAGCCCUGCAACUCAGCAACCUCCACCCCUGAGAACGAGGACCCUGAAAUUAGACCUGCAACACAAAAACCCCCAUCCCUGCAACCAGACCUGCAACUCAGCAGCCCCACCCCUGCAGACAAGGAGCCCUGAACUAGACCUGCAAAUCAGGAACCCCCACCCCUGCAGACAAAGACCCCUUAAACUAGACCUGGAACUCAGCAACCCCCACCCAUGCAGACAAGGACCCCUGAAAUUAGACCUGCAACUCAGGAACCCCGACCCCUGCAGAAAAGAAUCCAUGCAUCCAGACUGGUAACUCAGCAACACCCACCCCUGCAGACAAAGACCCCUGAAACUAGACCUGCAAAUCAGGAACCCCCACCCCUGCAACCAGACCUGCAAUCAGCAGCCCCCACCCCUGCAGACAAGGACCUCUGAAAUUAGACCUGCAAAUCAGGAACCCCCACCCGUGCACAUAAGGACCCCUGCAACCAGACCUGGCCUCAGCAAUCCCCAUCGCUGCACACAGGAUCCCUGUAACCAGACUUGGCCUCAGGAACCCCCACCCCUGCAUACAAGGUCCCCUACAACAAGACCUGCAACUCAGCUACCCCCACCCCUGCACACAAGGACCUCAGCGAUCAGACCUGGCCUCAGCAACCCCCACCCCAGGCCAGAAGGAACCUUGGGCAACUGGCAGCUUUCUACCCCUCCCACUUUGAGCUCACCGUCCUUCUCUUUGUCCAUCCGCACUUUCUUCAGGGCAACAAUCUCAUCCGUCUGGGUGUCCCGGGCCCUAUCUGGAAUGGAAACUCAUCCAUGAUGGAAUGAUCAAAUAGGCUUGAUCCCACAUCACCCACCCUUGUGCCACACAGGGGCCUCGUUCAGAACCCUGCGGGUUCCCUUUCCCUUCUUUGAUAACUGGAUGCCCAUUGACACUAGGUCCUCACCAUGCAAGCAGCACCCGCAUCCCCACCAGACACAGGCUCUCUGGGGGAGUCCUCUCAUCUAACCUGGGUAGAGGGUGCUACUUACAACACGCUCCCUCUCAGUGUUUCUCCUUAGAGUCAGGAUGCGGGUCGCUGCUCUGCUCUCUGUUGUUACUAUGUUCUAACAGCAAAUAAGAUACUUUAUCCAGGAAAAAAUCCCUUAUAUUGUGCCAAGGAGGCUCCUCAAAGCCCUGUGCUAAAGUGCGCAGCUUCCAAACCCCAGUAGUAUAAGGUAUACCAACAUCUCAGCUGUCACAGGCUGCAACCCCGGCUGCUUCUGGAAGUUCUGCAUUUUGCUCUAACAGUUGCCCCAACUUGCAGGUCAUGGUUGCAAAUGCAAUUUGAAUAAAUUACAUUUAUUCAGA